GAGGAAGGGAAGUAGUCCAAGAAAACCAAAGGGAGAAGGAUGAUUCAGUUAUUGGCGAUGGUGUCCUCAAUCCAGGUGCAAGGGGCUGGAUCGAAUGUGAUCUUCAUCACUCACAAAUUGUGGCACUGAGCAGCCAACACAACCCACUGUUUGGUGAUGACAGCACCUCCACAGAAGUUCCCAGAAUUCAAGAACACUUGCUGACCGCAGGCAUCCAGAGCACAGUGUGGGGGCACAGAAUAAUCAAUAAAGAGAAAUGGAGUAGCAGCCCAUAUUGUGAAGUUCUGUGAUGGUAUUUACUACCCUCUGGCAUUUUUGUAUCUACCUCCACCAGGGGUACUGUAUGUGCUCCACGUGCCCAUGUCCCCCCCACCGGUACACCCUGCCCGCUGCGCCCACCACGGUGUUCAGCACUGCCAAGCGCAGCGGCAUCACCAGAAUGAACACUUCGGAGAUCCGAAAUUAAAAAUUUUCAGCAUUAAGGAAAGCAUGAAUCAACACCACCCAUUAGAAGCAACUUGUUUUCGUUAAAUAGGACUUUUUGUACCUUUUUCUAUUUUUCUAUUAAUUU